UACGGAGGUGGCAGGCGUUACUCGGAUUUAUUGGGUGUAAAGGGUUUGUAGGUGGCUUGCUAAGUCGAACGUGAAAUCCCUUGGCUCAACCAAGGAACUGCGCUCGAAACUGGCUUGCUUGAGCGACGGAGAGGAGAAUGGAAUUCCCGGUGUAACAGUGAAAUGUGUAGAUAUCGGGAGGAACACCAGUAGCGAAGGCGAUUCUCUGGACGUCUGCUGACACUGAAAAACGAAAGCUAGGGGAG
rnacentral:rRNA from 1 species